AAUUAUGUCAUUAUCCACAUAAUACAACAGAGUUUAAUAGGAAAACUAUUUAUUUAUUUAUUGUUAUAUUUGACAAAAAAAAAAAAAAGAAAAAAGCAUGACCUUUGCUUCAUCUCUCUCCCUCGUCGUCUUCCUUAAAGUUGAAGAGAAUUCACCGUGUUAAGCUCCGGCAUUACCUUGGUUCUCUAUCUGACUCACUUCCAACUCGGUCCGAUCCGAGCCACUCAUUCGAUGGGGCGGUCUCCGAGUCAUCUCACCACCACCCUCCUCCUUCUAUUCCUCUCUCUCCUUCGACUCGCUCGCAUCUCCGCCAUCCCCGCCACUCCGCGCCUCCUCCGUCCACCUAACGCGCAGGCACGCACUGCCUUCCUCUUACCUCUCCAUCACCACUAUUCUUCUUCUUCUGAUUCUCCCCAGAACUCCUCCUCCUCGUCUUCCUUCAAUCCACAUCGCCACCUCCAGAGAUCCGGUGCCAGUAACCGUUCCAAUGCUCGCAUGAGCCUCCACGACGACCUCCUCCUUAAUGGGUACUACACCACGCGGCUUUGGAUCGGAACGCCACCUCAGAAAUUUGCUCUCAUUGUCGAUACGGGAAGCUCUGUUACGUACGUACCCUGUUCCACUUGCGAUCAGUGUGGAAGACACCAGGACCCCAGAUUCGAUCCGGAGCUUUCGACCACUUAUCAAGCGGUGAAGUGCAAUAUCGACUGUACUUGUGACAAUGAUCAAACGCAAUGCAUUUACGAGAGGCAAUACGCCGAGAUGAGUACAAGCAGUGGGGUGCUUGGUGAGGAUGUACUAUCCUUUGGGAACCUGAGUGCGCUUGCUCCUCAAAGAGCUGUUUUUGGCUGUGAAAACUUGGAAACUGGCGACCUUUACAGCCAACGUGCCGAUGGUAUAAUGGGCUUGGGCCGCGGUGACCUUAGUGUUGUGGACCAACUCGUGGAUAGAGGUGUGAUUAGUGACUCAUUCUCAUUGUGUUAUGGUGGGAUGGAUAUUGGUGGAGGUUCCAUGGUUCUGGGCGGUAUCACUCCACCUCCGGGCAUGGUUUUUGCUGAUUCUGAUGCUGUACGAAGUCCAUAUUACAACAUAGAUUUGAAGGAGAUUCAUGUUGCGGGAAAGCAAUUGCCUAUAAAUCCAGUGGUGUUUGAUGGGAAACAUGGGACGAUCCUGGAUAGUGGUACCACGUAUGCUUACCUGCCUGAUGCAGCAUUUAUACCAUUUAAAGAUGCUAUCAUAAAGGAACUGCAAUCUUUCAAGAAGAUUCGUGGCCCUGACCCAAAUUAUAAUGAUAUAUGUUUUUCUGGCGCUGGAAGCGAUGUCUCCCAACUUACAAAAAAUUUUCCUGCGGUUGGUAUGGUAUUUGGCAAUGGACAAAAACUGUCACUAUCCCCUGAAAAUUAUUUGUUCCAGCAUUCAAAGGUCCGUGGUGCAUAUUGCUUGGGUAUAUUUCCAAAUGGAAGAGAUCCAACCACUCUUAUAGGGGGAAUCAUUGUCCGAAAUACCCUUGUGAUGUAUGACCGUGAGCGUUCGAAGAUUGGUUUCUGGAAAACUAAUUGUUCUGAGUUAUGGGAAAGGCUUCACAUCUCUGGCUCUCCUCCAGCAAUGGGGCCAACUCCUAAUGAGAAGAAUUCAAGUACAGAAUUAUCACCUACAUUGGCUCCCAAUGAGGCACCAGAUUAUGUCCUUCCAGAGGAUCAACAAAUUGGAAAAAUAACAUUCGAGAUGUCAUUCAACAUUAGCUACACUGAUUUAAAGCCUCACAUCACAGAACUGGCUGAAUACAUCGCUCCUGCUUUAGAUGUUAAUAUUUCACAGGUCCGAGUAUUGAACUUUACAUCCAGUGCAAAUUAUACCCUCGUUAGAUUGGCCAUUGUCCCAGCAGGGUCUGCUGAUUUCAUCUCUAAUACGGCUGCAGUGACUAUCAUUGCUCAUCUUGCUGAACAUGGUAUACAACUUCCUGCUACCUUUUCCAGUUAUAAGUUUGUUGGAUGGAAUGUUGUACCGAAGGUAAAACGGAAAUGGUGGCAUCAAGAGUAUCUGGUGGUCAUCUUAGCAAUUUUUGUUACUCUAUUUAUUGGAUUAUCAGCUUUUGGUAUGUGGUUUAUUUGGAGACGCCGACAACAGGCUUUCAUUUCCUAUAAGGCUGUCAAUUCAGCUGUUCUGGAGCAAGAACUCCAACUCCAGCCACUGUGAACUUAGUAGCUACCUUUGCUUGGUGGGCACAUUUUCAUUUUUUGAUUCAUAUAUUUGUUGUAGGUUGGUGGGUGGUGUUGUUGAUGUUGUCAAACCCCUUAAACCCAAAACAAAAGUCAACUGGGUUAUGAAAACGAGCACAUUGUGCUCGGCAAAAGCUGCUACGUGACCCAACCAGCCAUUUGCUCGUUGACUCUGCUUUUGAUUGCAUGUGACUUGUAUAAGCUUUUUGAUUUUGGUUCACAGCCUUUGACGCUUUGUUGUUCUUUGAUUUUUCAAUGUCUAGUUGGGUAUAUAUGUUUGGCUUCGAUAAAUUCUAGUAUUAUGUUAUUAAUUUCUGAAUAUGAACAAAAAAUGCAUCUUCUCCGAAACUAUGUAGGAGAGUUUGACAUUUUAAAAAUCUAAAUUCAUUUGCAGCCGUGGAAGAAUCUGAAAAAUGGCCGUUGAAGUGUGAAA